rnacentral:rRNA from 1 species
GUACACACCGCCCGUCACACCAUGGGAGUUGGCUUUACCUGAAGGCGGUGCGCUAACCCGCAAGGGAGGCAGCCGACCACGGUAGGGUCAGCGACUGGACUAAGUCGUAACAAGGUAACCGUAGGUGAACCUGCAGAAGGAUCA